rnacentral:tRNA from 1 species
GUGCUAGUAACCCAUGUUGGCCGGGUACCUGCCUUCCAAGCAGGGUUUCGCGGGUUCGAUUCCUGUCUAGCACAC